GGUUAAGCGACUAAGCGUACACGGUGGAUGCCCUGGCAGUCAGAGGCGAUGAAGGGCGUGCUAAUCUGCGAUAAGCGCCGGUAAGGUGAUAUGAACCGUUAUAACCGGCGAUACCCGAAUGGGGAAACCCAGUGUGACUCGUCACACUAUCAUUAACUGAAUCCAUAGGUUAAUGAGGCGAACCGGGGGAACUGAAACAUCUAAGUACCCCGAGGAAAAGAAAUCAACCGAGAUUCCCCCAGUAGCGGCGAGCGAACGGGGAGGAGCCCAGAGCCUGAAUCAGCAUGUGUGUUAGUGGAAGCGUCUGGAAAGGCGCGCGAUACAGGGUGACAGCCCCGUACACAAAAGCGCAUGUGCUGUGAGCUCGAUGAGUAGGGCGGGACACGUGGUAUCCUGUCUGAAUAUGGGGGGACCAUCCUCCAAGGCUAAAUACUCCUGACUGACCGAUAGUGAACCAGUACCGUGAGGGAAAGGCGAAAAGAACCCCGGCGAGGGGAGUGAAAAAGAACCUGAAACCGUGUACGUACAAGCAGUGGGAGCCCCACCACCAAAGCAUUUGCUGUACCGCGUUGACGGAGCGAAGCGACGUCAAACCGAUAAAACAGCAGUGUAAAGUGAGCCGCAGGGCGCUUUGCGCGACAGCGCAAAGGCAGGCGGUUUCGCGUAGCGAAAGCGAAUGCUUUGGGGUGGGGUGACUGCGUACCUUUUGUAUAAUGGGUCAGCGACUUAUAUUCUGUAGCAAGGUUAACCGAAUAGGGGAGCCGGAGGGAAACCGAGUCUUAAUUGGGCGUUAAGUUGCAGGGUAUAGACCCGAAACCCGGUGAUCUAGCCAUGGGCAGGUUGAAGGUUGGGUAACACUAACUGGAGGACCGAACCGACUAAUGUUGAAAAAUUAGCGGAUGACCUGUGGCUGGGGGUGAAAGGCCAAUCAAACCGGGAGAUAGCUGGUUCUCCCCGAAAGCUAUUUAGGUAGCGCCUCGUGAAUUCAUCUCCGGGGGUAGAGCACUGUUUCGGCUAGGGGGCCAUCCCGGCUUACCAACCCGAUGCAAACUGCGAAUACCGGAGAAUGUUAUCACGGGAGACACACGGCGGGUGCUAACGUCCGUCGUGAAGAGGGAAACAACCCAGACCGCCAGCUAAGGUCCCAAAGUCAUGGUUAAGUGGGAAACGAUGUGGGAAGGCCCAGACAGCCAGGAUGUUGGCUUAGAAGCAGCCAUCAUUUAAAGAAAGCGUAAUAGCUCACUGGUCGAGUCGGCCUGCGCGGAAGAUGUAACGGGGCUAAACCAUGCACCGAAGCUGCGGCAGCGACACUGUGUGUUGUUGGGUA
rnacentral:rRNA from 3 species